rnacentral:lncRNA from 1 species
AGACUCACAGGAUCAGAAUCUUCAGAGUCAGGGACUAGCAGGUGCACUUCUCAAGGGCUGUGAAGAAGCUGCAAGGGACAGAUGACAAAGGGGCAAGAUGCCUAAUUCACAUGGAUUCUGAGCAGGUUCUGUAGCUGAGCACUGGCAAGGCCUGAUUCGCCUUUUAGUGGGGCCAUGCCUUGCCAUCCUCGAGAGGAAAAGACAUGAGAGACCAAGACAGAACCAGGAUGUUUCUGCUCUUACCCACGUGGUUGGGUUACUUAGAUGAUGAUGACACUUUCAGGGUUGGCUGAUGGAUAGAAUGUUGGUUAUGAGCAAGAAAGAAUCAGGCUGAUGCAAGAGUCCUGACACCAGGAAAAUGAUACUGAUGUUGCAAGGCAGAAAAGGCCUGGGUACCAGUGAACCUCCAGAACAGUCUUCUACCUCGGAAGCCUCAGGAGGCCAGAGAAGGAAGGAAAACUCCCCAACCCUCAGAAGCCGCACCGAUGGGCACCCUUAGCCUUGCUGGUAUUGAGCGCAUGCCCUGUCUCUCAGCAGAGAGGGAGAGAACUGGAAGCCCUGCUGAAGCCCAAGCUGGGCAGAAGCAGUCGACAGCAUCAAAGGCCGUGCGCUGCAGCGUCUUCACACUAUAUUGGGGCCCACUUGGUCAUUAUAAGCUCACCUGAAUGCUCAGCAAA